UACGGAGGGUGCAAGCGUUAUCCGGAUUCACUGGGUUUAAAGGGUGCGUAGGCGGGUAUGUAAGUCAGUGGUGAAAUCCUGGAGCUUAACUCCAGAACUGCCAUUGAUACUAUAUAUCUUGAAUAUUGUGGAGGUUUGCGGAAUAUGUCAUGUAGCGGUGAAAUGCUUAGAUAUGACAUAGAACACCUAUUGCGAAGGCAGCAGGCUACACAUAUAUUGACGCUGAGGCACGAAAAGCGUGGGGGAUCAAACAGG
rnacentral:rRNA from 1 species